rnacentral:lncRNA from 10 species
GCAGGAUUGUACUAGGUGGAGAAUAUUCUAGACUGAAGGAACACCACAGAAAAGACAAGAAAGCGUGGAAGGGCGUGGCUUGAGGAAAAAGGUCGGGAAACUGGGGGUUGAAGAAUGAACAGGCGCUGCGGGAAAUUGAUGCCUCAGCUACCGGCGCUGGAGCAUGCGCACUGCUACCGGAGGCGCCUCUGGGAAAUCCAGUGCUCCGGGAUUUCCACGCAGCCGGAGGGAAUCCAGAGGGGCGAGUGAUGGGCGUGGCAUCAGGGGGCAGGGCGUACGAGUCACAGUGUUGAUUGGCCGGUGAGAGGCCCGGGCGUGGAGCGGCAGCGGACCCCUGUGGCGGGCUCUGGCGUUUCAUUCAUUCGUUCAUUCAUUGAAUGAACUGAUUCACUCCAUGUUUACUGAGUAUACGCUGUGUCAGAGCUUGUGUAGGCGCUGGGGAUUCAGAGCCGAGUCGGACACAGCCCCUGUCCUUAAGGAGCCCACGCUUCGACUGAAACCGCGGCGUCCCUGCCUUUCUUCGUUUGCACCUUAUCUCCUCUCUUCUCUCAAGGCUGGUGUCCUUGCAGAAGGCGGCGACGCUCAGCCCAUCUUACCUCAGGGACCCUCUCCGAGGCUUCCACACUUCUGAAAGCAGCUGUUGAACACGGAAAGGCCUGGCGUGGAAUCCUGGCUAGCGCUCAAUCACUGAGCCGCUUCACCCACUUUACAUUCACCUCUGAAAGCAUGAUGCAGGCGUCCCCAACUUAGGGUGGCUCGACUUAGGGGAUUUUUCAACUUUGCGAUGGGCUUAUCGGGAAGCAACCCAUCAUAAAUCGAGGAGCAUCUGUAUAGUUAUCUUGCAGAGGGCAGUGAGGUUUAAAAUGAGCUUUGGUGCUUAUCUUGAGGUUGAGUCCGAGUUUCUUCCUUACACGAUUAUUGUGAGGAUAUGAGAUAUUUAUGCCAAGCACAUUGCACAUUGCCUGCCAGAUAAGAGUUUCAUAAAUGAGGCCGGGCACGGUGGCUCACGCCUGUAAUCCCAGCACUUUGGGAGGCCGAGACGGGCGGAUCACUUGGGCUCAGGAGUUCCAGACUAGCCUGGGCAACGUAGGGAAACCCUGCCUCUACAAAAAAAUUUACAAAAAUUAGCCGGGCAUGAUGGGAGGCUGAAGUGGGACGUUGGCUUGAGCCCAGGAGGAAGAGGAUCCACAGUGAGCCAAGAUCGCACCACUGCGCUUCAGCCUGGGCCACAGAGCAAGACCCUGUCUCAAAAAAAAAAAAAAAAGAUAAAAAAAAGUUUUGUAAAUGGUAGUUACCAUCGUGUUAUUUUGAAGGAAGAGUUAUGAAGGUCUAACCAAGUAGCUGGUUCUUAGUUGUGCUAAAUAAGUAUAGUUAUUUUUUCCCUCCAUAGCCUGUGAGCUAGAAAGCCCAGGUGAGACAUGACACUAUGGAGUCCUAUAACACGGGAAGGAGAAGAAACUCUUUAUGGUACUGGUGGGGGAUCAAAACCCUUGAGAGGUGCUGGCUUUUGUGCAAAGUGGAGUGAUUGGAUCACCCAACCGGAACACCGUUAGCCAGGACAUAAGCUGGAAUUGUACCAGGAAAGUAAAGCUAUAUGGUCACCUUACCCUGAGGCUGUACAAGUAGCAUGUGACAGAAUUUGUCCAUUCUGUCUCAAAUUGCCUUCUCACACUUUCUUUAAUCCUAAUGAUAGCC